CUAGCAGGAGAAUCUUGAGGUUUCAGAAAAGAUGCCCGGGACAGGGCAACGGCGGCGCAAGCCAAAUUGAGUUUACUUUUCAAGAACAUCUGGUACUCCUCGGAAUCCACCGGAAUAUUCGGAGGAGCACCAGGAGCAGCAGCUACAUUAAACGGCGGGGUACGUCGCGCAUUGCUAAAUGACGAUGAAGCAGUCGUUUUGUCAUUGUCCUUGAUCUCAAGGACGUCGCUUUUGUCACCAGCAGGAGCUGAAGAAGAUUGCGGCGAGGAGUCAGAGGCAGAAGCAGAAACAGCAAUAACAGAAGCCUCUUGGAGGAAGCGCUGGAAGGCCCACUCAGAUUCGCUCCGGUUCAUCUUGGAGGGAUC
rnacentral:misc_RNA from 1 species